GGGAAUGUGGCUUAGUGGUAUAGUGCUUGCCUAGUAUGCAUGAAGCCCUGGGUUCGAUUCCUCAGUACCA
rnacentral:tRNA from 1 species